rnacentral:rRNA from 1 species
AUGUGAUCGUCUCUCGCAUAUCAAUAAGCGGAGGAAAAGAAACUAACAAGGAUUCCCCUAGUAACGGCGAGUGAAGCGGGAAGAGCUCAAAUUUGAAAUCUUAAAGGGUUUCCCUUUACGAAUUGUAGUUUAAAGAAGUGUUUUCUGUUGAGGUUUUGGUAAAAGUUCUUUGGAAUAGGACAUCAUAGAGGGUGAGAAUCCCGUAUUUGACCUUUACUUUCAACUUUGUGAUACACUUUCAAAGAGUCGGAUUGUUUGGGAUGCAGUCCCAAAAUGGGUGGUAAAUUUCAUCUAAAGCUAAAUAUUGGCGAGAGAUCGAUAGCGAACAAGUACCGUGAGGGAAAGAUGAAAAGAACUUUGAAAAGAGAGUUAAACAGUACGUGAAAUUGUCAAAAGGGAAGCGUUUGACACCAGUGUUGUUUUUCUGAAAAUCAAUUAAAGAACUGUUUAUGCUAAGUUGUUUAGACUUUAUCAGCUAACUGUUUAGUUUUGAGCUUUUCUUUAAUGCACUUUUCAGUUAACAAGUCAACAUCAAUCUCUUUUGCUGUAAGAAAGCUUGAGGGAGGUGGCUUGAGAUUCGUCUUAAGUGUUUAUAGCCUCUUGCCUAUGCAGUCGGAGAGAUUGAGGUCUGCAGCGUAGAUCCUUCGGGGCUAAAUGCAUUUGUGCUAAGUUAUAGCAUUUUAUAGACAACUUGUUGACUAUGAUUUGUCUUGUAGCUUACUCGCUUAUGUUAUUUUACCUACGCUUAGGAUGUUGAAGUCAUCGUAUCGCGC